rnacentral:rRNA from 1 species
AUUGAACGCUGGCGGCAUGCCUUACACAUGCAAGUCGAACGGCAGCACGGGAGCAAUCCUGGUGGCGAGUGGCGAACGGGUGAGUAAUAUAUCGGAACGUGCCCAGUCGUGGGGGAUAACGUAGAGAAAUUUACGCUAAUACCGCAUACGAUCUAAGGAUGAAAGCGGGGGACCGUAAGGCCUCGCGCGAUUGGAGCGGCUGAUAUCAGAUUAGGUUGUUGGUGAGGUAAAAGCUCACCAAGCCGACGAUCUGUAGCUGGUUUGAGAGAACGACCAGCCACACUGGGACUGAGACACGGCCCAGACUCCUACGGGAGGCGAGCAGUGGGGGAAUUUUGGACAAUGGGCGGAAAGACCUGAUCCAGCAAUAGCCGCGUGCAGGAAGAAGG